rnacentral:lncRNA from 1 species
GACAAGAUCCAUAUUAAACAUAAAAUAACAAAAAGCAUUACAAAUAGUAUCAACAGGUCAAAUUAACAAGAAAGUACGAUUUGAGAGUACUUGCAGUUACUGACAGCUAGUUAAAAGCCAAAACAAUUAAUAAUAAAAAAUCAUGCAUCAGAGACUAAAAUCAACUAAAACACAUCCCAGGGAUUUAGUAUUUUAACGUCAUGAACAGCCAAAGAAGACAUGACUUGUGCAAUGCCAAAAAUAAAUGUAUCGACAGGUAGUAGGAUAUUUAGGAGUGACUGACUUCUUUAUAGAUAAAAAUGAAAGUGUGUGUGUCUCUAUACAUCCCGUUUGAAAAGAAAAUACCAUUUAGUUAUGUUUUAAUUUGCUAAUGACAAAGUACGGUCUUUAACACAGAGCCUUGGCUCACACCAAACAGCAAGCUAUAAAGGGCCCC